UCAACCUACUUUUGUUCCUUAUUUUGGAUAGUUAUGUACGUGUAAAAAAAAGAUAUGUCUAAACGAUAUUGGUUGGAUUUGGGAGAUGAUGAUUCAUCGAGUUAAACGAUAACGUCUUCUAAUGGUUAUGUAUAUGGAAUAAUAUGGAGAGAGGAUCCUUUGGAUUUGUGUUUUGUCGGCACUACAGCGCAGGAGAUUUUUAGCUGCAACUAACGUUAGCAUGCUAGCUAGCUAGCUCAUUACUAGUUCAUUGAAACUAUCUGAAGCUGGCUCUGUUCUGUAGAUACUACGAGCUAGUUAGCGAACUAUUUGGCCCGAUAGCUAGCUAAAUCACAGCGUUGUCAUUAACGUUCUGCAACUGAAAAGGAAAAUAACCAAACCAAUAACCAAGAUGUCUCAUUUGCAUGUCACCCAAUGAUUCAGUCAGUGGACGUCAAAACUACAUGGCCAACUUUGUUGGCAGAACAGACAUUCUUGAAAUCCUUCCGUGGAAUUGGGUACCGAGUGUCAUGCCAACAUUCCAGGCCCAUAAGGACAUGAGUUCUGAGGUGAGACCGUGACAGGGACCGAGACUAGCUGUCGAAGGACAGGGACUGAGACCGACCGGGACGUCAAGCACUUUGGCAUGGCCCUGAACCCAGCUGUCUGCGGCAGCAGUGCGGUCCUUCUCUCCAUCAAGCAGACAGCCAUACAGCAGCAGAUCAACUCGUUCACCAACCUGGCCCACACGGCAUGCUACUAUGAGAUCCUGAAGAAGAGUCUGCAGCUGCCCAUGUGGGAGUACAAGGAUCAAUUCAAACAAGUCCUGGCAUGCCACUAGAGCUACAUUUUCAUCAGAGAAACAGGCUCGGGCAAGACCACACAGAAGGUGAAGUUCUUGGGCGGCCCUAAGAAGGCAGUGACCUGUACCCAGCCCAUUAGGGAGGAAGCCAUGAGCGUGGCCCAGGGGGUGGCAAGGAGAUGGUAUGUUGCUGCGGGAGGCCGUGAACGACCCCCUGCUGGCGCGCUACGGCGUCAUCCGGGACGAGGCCCACGAGAGAACACGGGCCACAGACAUCCUCAUGAACACGGGCCACAGACAUCCUCAUGAACACGGGCCACAGACAUCCUCAUGAACACGGGCCACAGACAUCCUCAUGAACACGGGCCACAGACAUCCUCAUGAACACGGGCCACAGACAUCCUCAUGAACACGGGCCACAGACACCCUCAUGAACACGGGCCACAGACACCCUCAUGAACACGGGCCACAGACACCCUCAUGAACACGGGCCACAGACACCCUCAUGAACACGGGCCACAGACACCCUCAUGAACACGGGCCACAGACACCCUCAUGAACACGGGCCACAGACACCCUCAUGAACACGGGCCACAGACACCCUCAUGGGCGUCCUCAAAGAGGUGGGUCCGCAGAAGUCCGACCUCAAGGUACAUGUCAAACCUCCAUACCCCCGGGUGCAAUGUACUGAGUGGUGUGGGUACAAAUGUCCUGAAUAGAGCAGACCUGAUUUCUAAUUGUCAGAGGAACAUGUCAGUUCUAUCUGAACGUUUCGUUAACUUUGUGCCCCACUGAAAGCGAUCUGGGCUUUCACGCGUGUGCUUGCUGAAUGGAACCCUGGCCUUGCCAACAGUUCCCACUCGCCAGUCUACAUUCCACAUCAUCUCAUAGAGUCAUACGGUGUUCUUUACUGCUUCUGUCUGUACUGUCUGAUCCUACUGGCUUCUCUCCUGCCUUUGCUACAUGUUACCAUACCAGCGCAUCUUUCCUUUGUCCACUCUCCUAGACUCAAUUACUACCUUCCACUAGGUACUCCUGCUCUAUCCUAUACGAGAGUCUGCUUCUCUGUGUGCACAUUCCUACUUGCUCUCUCCACGGGCUGACAGCGGAGUGUCUAUUGAGGAAAAGACAAACGGCAGCCAUUCAGCUCAGAAAUGCACAGCGAGUCCCCUCUGCAGCAGCACCGAGAUUGCUCCCCGGGUCAGCCCAUUCUGAGGUCAUCGUCAUGAGAGUCACGCUGGACGCCGGCAAGUUCUAGGUGUACUUAGACAGCUGUCUGCUGCUGACCAGCCUGAGAGGGACUACCUGGAGGCAGCCAUCAGCACGGUCAUCCAGAUCUCUUCCUCAACAAACGAGGAAAUCGACGACCUGGGACCCGAUGUGGGGGACAUCAAAAUCAUCCCGCUGUACUCAACGCUGCUGCCCCAGCAUCAGCAGAGGUUCUUUGAGCCGCCCCCACCCACACAAGCCCAACGGAGCUAUUGGGAGGAAGUGUUUCGUGUGACCCACGGAGGCAAGGAAGACGGCCGAGAAGUCCAAGAUAAGGUUCACCCACAUUGAUGGAAAUCACCUGACCCUCCUCAACGUCUAUCACACCUUCAAACAGAACCACGAGUUGGCGCAGUGGUGCUACGACAACUUUGUGAACUACCGGUCGCUGACAACGUGCACCAGCAGCUGUCCCGGAUCAUGGACCUCUUCAACCUGCCCUGCCGGAUUCUUCAUGCAGGUAGCCCAUUUGGAGCACACAGGCCAGUACCUGAUGGUGAAGGACAACCAGGUGGUCCAGCUGCACCAGUCCUGUGUGCGAUAUACAAUGAGUUUGUGCUGACCACCAAGAACUACAUCCUCACCUGCACCGACAUCAAACCAGAGUGGCUGGUGAAAAUCGCCCCGCAGUACUAAGAGAUGGAUAACUUCCCCAACUGUGAAGCCAAGAGACAGUUGUAGCGCAUCGUCGCUAAACUCUCAACCAAGGAAUACUCUGUACUAACACUGUAGUGUGCACGAGAACAAUACCAUCACCACCAGCACUAAGGAACUCUGAACUCUUCAUCUGAGCCUUGAAUUUUGUUUAUUUUUUACCACCUGUGGUCAUUGUGAUUAACAGGUGGUUGGCAUUGCGGUUGAUCCGGGUUGGGAGUGAGCGGUCAACACCAUUACCGUCAUUGACCAUGUUAAAGCAUAACCAUUUAUGUAGAUGUUGACUUUCCUUUUUAGAACGUGUCAACUCUUACCAAAAUGUACUUAGGUACAGAAUGUCCAUGCUAAUUCAUUGAACAAACUUUGACUUCAAUUAAUGGAAAAAAAUACAUCUCAGCUUUGACGGUUUAGAACCUACCCUCUUGCUUGUUCAGACAGCUACCAAACUUUGGUAUUGGGUGGGGGGGUGAGCUCAGAAGGUUGAAAUAUUACAUGUAUUUUAAUAGCAGCAAAGCAGGAAGUAAAAGAAGGAAGUGUACCCAUCAAUAUCGGCUGUGAUCGUAUGAUUCAACUCAAAUGACAUUACAAAAAAUACAUUCCA